CUACUUACUCCGACUAAUCGUUAUUUGGUCAGUAGCUUUAUCUUCGGCAUCGGCUGGAGAGGUAGACAAUUGGUAUACUUGUAAAGUAUCGGAGUUAGGAACAAAAUUAGCGGAAAUAUAUAAAAAUAACUACAGAAAUAUAGAUGUGAAAAAUUUUUAUGGGGGCCAUUUUGAGAAACUUAAACAUGGUUACUUCGGCGAUCUUUCAAAACUAUCCUUAAAAAAUAAAAGUCUUACGAUUAAGUCAACAAAUUCGCACACGAAGCAUAUUGUAUUCGAAUUAAUUCUUCCAAAUGGCUUCGUACAUUAUAAAAUUUAUCAGCAUCCGGAACCAUCAGAUAAUUUAGCAUUUUGAUAUAAUUAUGACGUUGAUAUGAAUUGGUUUGUAAUCUUUGACGUAUGUGAAUCAGCAUUAUUCUGCAAGUCCAUAGUUAAUGAUUUUAGAGUGUACCG
rnacentral:lncRNA from 12 species